GACGAACCGUGCAAACGUUGUUCGGAAUCACUGGGCUUAAAGGGCGCGUAGGCGGCAGAUCAAGUCCGGGGUGAAAUCCUGCAGCUUAACUGUAGAAGUGCCUUGGAUACUGAUUUGCUCGAGGGAGGUAGGGGUCUGUGGAACUUCUGGUGGAGCGGUGAAAUGCGUUGAUAUCAGAAGGAACGCCGGUGGCGAAAGCGACGGACUGGACCUCUUCUGACGCUGAUGCGCGAAAGCUAGGGGAGCAAACGGG
rnacentral:rRNA from 1 species